CGGCGGUCGACGUCACCGGCGGUCGACGUCACCGGCGGUCGACGUCACCGGUGGUCGACGUCACCGGCUUUCUAGCCAUCGCCGCUCCAUUUUUCUAUUAUCCAUUUGUUUUGUCUUGUUCCAUUCACACCUGGUUUGCAUUCCCCAAUCACACUAGAUGUAUUUAUUCCUCUGUUCCCCCUCAUGUCUUUGUGUGAAAUGAUUUGUGUGUUACGUGUUGUACGCACUAGGCAGAGCUCCGUAAUCUGGACAGAGUCAGAGAGGUACAGGACUUCAGUCAUCCUCGUGGUUAGAACCGGGAAAAACUAGGAAACAGAACUUGUGAAACAGGAAGACGGGAAAGCACGCUGUUGUGUUUCCUAGUUUUUUCCGGUUCUGACCAUUCUGCCUGCCCUGACCAUGAGCCUGCCCUGACCCCGUACCUGCCUGCCGUUCUGUACCUGUCUGACUCUGACCUGAUUACAAAUCUCUGCUUGCCCUCGGCCUGCCCCGUGUUUACAAUAAAUAAUCUGAGAACUGUA